GCUUAUGGUCAAACCACCCUGUCUGUGCCCAAUCUCGUCUGAUCUUGGAAGCUAAGCAGGGUCGGGCCUCGUUAGUACUUGGAUGGGAGAGUGCCUGGGAAUACCAGGUGCUGCAAGCU
rnacentral:rRNA from 1 species